GCCGCUUCAGCUAAGUUGGUAGGACAUCAUGGGGGUCGCGUGUUCGAGUCACGCAAGCGGCACCA
rnacentral:tRNA from 7 species